rnacentral:tRNA from 1 species
GGAGGCGUAUCCUAAUCGGCUAAGGAGCCGGUCUCGAAAACCGGUGGGGUUUUUGCCCCUUGUGGGUUCGAGUCCCACCGCCUCCGCCA